CAGAAAGUAGUUUUAUAUAUUAAGAAUAUUAGCUUUGGGAGCUAAUGGUGGAGGUUAAACCCCUCCCUUUCUGA
rnacentral:tRNA from 1 species